CAUCGCAGCACCCGCCGGGCAGCGCCGGUGCCUCUCCCUCUCCCUGCCCUGCCCCGACCCGGUCCCGGUCCCGGCCCCAACCCCAGCCCCGGCCCCGUGCCUCCCGGCGCCGAGGGGAGCGGAAGGCAGCAGCGGUACGGAGCGGUUCCGGGGCGCGACGGCCGGGCGGGGGGGACGGAGGGGAUGCGGUGUCGCCACCUGCCGCGCCCUCCCGGCCCUGCAGCCCGCACCCGGCCGGUGGCGGCGGGGCAGCGCCCCCCGGCGAGGGAAGGACAGCGAGACCCGAAAAGCCUGAGGGGAGCUGCAGCCGCCUGGGCAGGCCGAGGUGGAGCCCAGCAGCCCCUAUAGCCCAAGGAACCAGGCACGGAAAGCCUGAGCGAUCCUGUUUGAUUGUUUAGAGCAAAAGUUGUGGUCCAAACAGUGUCCAGGAGGUGGAAAGGACCUGUUCUUAUUAAUGUCGGGCAGCACCACCAUCACAGCACUGCUGCGUGUUCUGUUCGGUGUGUGCACCCAUAAACUCGGGGAGGAGAGGGAAGGCAAAGACACCAGAAAUUAAUAACAGAGAGACUACAUGCAGCAGAAAUUCUCCACUGUAGGAGCUGAAAAAGCACAGUGAAGUACUUCUGGGUUAUCAAAGAAGCCAUCAUCUGAUGAACCAUAAAAAGCAUCAUCCUUAUUAUGCACUGAAUCAUCGAUGUUUAACAUGCGCUCACUGUCACAGAAAAAUCUGAUGCCUUUCCUCCAGUAUGCUUCAGCUUCAUCAGGAUCCUAUUUUUCAUGCUGACUGCGUGGCUGAAAGCUGUUGUGCAGUUAUUUGAACUUUUGCCAUCUCUCAGGAUGGCAAGCAUCAGAGCCAGCCACCAAGCAUAGCAGAGUGGAACCAUAAGCUAUCACCAGAACAAGGAUGGAAAGCAGGCUACAUGCACUGUAUCACAACCAAACCAGAGCGCCUGAGUUGUGAUACUUAUCCAUGCAUAUGCUCUUUUGUCAUCAUAAAUAUACACAUUUUUGUCAUCAUAAAUAUACACAUUAUCUUAAAUCAUCAGUGAAUGUUUAUAUAUAUAUAUAUAUUGACUGUUUCAUUUUAUAUAUAUAUAAAAUAUAUAUAUAUAAAGAAACAGUCAAUUUUGAUUUUCCUCACAUUUUCAACACUUGAGCAACCUACUGUGUCUCAGCUAAAGAACAAUGAUUUGCAAACAAAAAGCUUCUUAUGCACUCAAUUACUUGCAUCUUUAUUAAAAUAUUCACAGGAACCUGUGUGAGAGACAACCUCCAACAGGGUCUUAAGCACUUCCACUAAGGGGGUUCUUUAGCCUCAGCAGGGUUCCCUCUCCAAUGCUUGCCCUUCUCACCAAGCUUCUCCUUGUGCUCAGCUGAACCCUUCUUUACUACGAAGUUACUUCUCUUGUCCUUCACUCCAUUGAAUGUAGAAAACAACUAAAGGUUGUUCUUUGUAACAACUCUGUAUUCACAGUCUUUCUGUCUUUUUUUUUUUUUUAAUAGAACAACCUUGUGUUUUUUGUUUUUUUUUCAAGUGUUGUUUUUAUGCUUACUUUUUUUAAAAGACAGGAUUGGUCUUUUUAAUCGUCUCUGGACUAAUUUCAAUUGGUCACAUCCAUCCUAAAUUGCAGCAUCUAAGGCAGAUGACAUAUUUCAGUCCACAAGAGUAGUAUGAAUAACAGCAUGAAAAUACCUUACCAUUAUUACCUUUGUAAUAGGUAAAUAUAGAAAGGGAAAGUGAUGUAGGGAGCAAACUUUAAAGCAGUAGCAUAAUAGCUAGAACACCUGACAACUCUGUUGCAGAAUACAUUUUUUCUGACUAUAAUUUUGCUACUACAAACUCAAAAAUGGUAUUUUGAUACAAGUCACAAAUCAUGCAUUCUUUCUAUAUACCAGCAGAAUAAAAAAAAUAAAACAUUUUUUCAGUGUCUCUAAAAGCACUGCUUCUUCCCAAAGAGGCAGUACCCUAGUUUUUAAGAAUUCAGAAAUACCUGAAAAGUCCAUUUAAUGUAAUUCCAAAGAAUAAAAGCCUACUGCAGUGGAAAGCAAGUUAUGAUGAGAUUCAAGAUGUGCACAGAAGACUGAAAAUAUCUGGUAAAUCAAGUUUUUUCUUACACUUAAUAGAAAGAAACCUGGUCAUCCGAUAGGAUCCUUCCAUCCCUCAUAGAUAUGACCCUAUAUAAUUGUGGCCUUAUUAAUAAUGCUUGGAUGUAUGCCUUUGAUGCGGUUGUCAUUGCACUGAGGAAUUAUGUAAUCUCACUCCUUUGAUAGAACUUGACAAUACUGUGGAGCAGAUGAGAAAGUCAACUUUUCCUUUCCUAUUCUCUUCCUACAGAAUUUUAACAGCUAUUCAGUUCCAGUCUUUUGAAUGAAUGACACCACACAACACUCUUAGGAGAACCCUUUUUCCUCCCAGUUGUUACAUCACGUGAAGGGUGAUCUGUGCCUUGCACAUCUAAGGAAUAAACACACAGCUGCUAAAGAUCAAAGAACAAAAGACAAGCUUGGAAUACUCUCUUCUGCCAGCCCUGGAAGUACAUGGGCUCAUCCUAGUUACAGAUGAGAUUUAAUAGAUAUAGAUUUAAUUUAUGGACUGGGCCCGAUUUAAUACUAAAUUGACACUACUUUUCAUCUCGGCUGCAAGGUCAUGCAGAAAAAUAGGAUGAAGAUGUAGGCCACUGAAGGUUCACAGAAGACCUUCUUAUGUCAAGUAUUACUUAAAUAUGUAUUAUGUUUAUCAGCCUUCCAGAUGACAGCAACAAGCUGAAAACACAAUGGAAAAAAAUUAUGAAUUUUAAUCUUGCCUUUACUAAUCAGAGAAGGUUCAGGGAAAAAGAAAACAAAAACCAGGAAGUGCACUUUAAGGAAAGGAAACACAAGAUUUUCUAUUUACAAAUAAUAAUCAACUGGAAGGGGAACAACUUAGUAGGUAACAGUUGAACAGAAGAGACUUGGAGACUAUGUUGGAACAGAAGCUGGAUAUACCAGUAACAUGCUAUUAUACCAGGCUGUAUAAACAUAAAUAAAGCUUGAAUGGCA